rnacentral:lncRNA from 1 species
UCGUUCUCCUCCUCUGCCAGCAGCGAUCAGUCGCCAGGAUCCGGAAGCACAGCUCCCGGACAAUCCGGAAGCACCGUUCCCGCGCAAUCCGGAAGCACAGCUCCUGGAGGCACAGCUCUCACUCCCCCACAUCCUCUUUUGGUUCCUCGCCCCGGCGAUCCAAAGCCGAAUCCCAUUCCGCCCAAGCCAAGAUCGUCAUCGCCCACGACUCCAUCGAGCUCCGACGCAGCAGUGGCGCUGUCGUCCGGGCAGGAGGAUGUGAGCUUACUCGCCCCAGCGCGAGCUCCAGAGGGAUCUUCAUCGUUUCCCGCGAAAGCUAGCGCUCCAGCUCCUGGAUCAUCGACCCAGCCCAAGGAAGAACUCUCCACCACCACCGCAAAAGGAGUUCCUCCUCUUCUUCCAUCAUCUUCCACUUUCGCUCCUCUUUCUCCUCCUCCAGCUUUUUCUCUUCCAUCGCGUAAAUUCGCCCCUUCUCCGGCUGGAACUCCUGAUCCCGAGGAAGAAGUUCCUGUUACAAGCAGUGGUGAUCGCCACAAGCAUGGCCACGGCCAUCACUGCCGCCAAAGCAAGAUCUUGAUUCGCGGCCAAGUUCUAUGCAAGAAGUGUGGCGAUGAUGGCAAAAGCAAGCCACUCUCCGGUAACUUCUUCCUCUUCCCUCAUCAUUUCACGUAUGCAUGGAAAAUUCCUUCGCUCCAAGACGUUUCCAAGGAUCAAAGAUCUUUGGUGUUCUUCAGUGAUCUAACUCUCCGAGAUCAUGCGCAGGGGUCACGGUGGCUGUGGAUUGCUCGCACUCCAGCUUCGUCACCACCACGGACAAGCACGGCAAGUUUAAGAUCCAGUUCCGGCAUCCACUUCGCGGUAGCAUGGAGAAUUGCGCGGCUUGGGUGGAACUCUUCACGCUGCCUUUCCAGUGCCAGAAUCGCCACUCUCGCCUGGUACGCGGCACUCUAGCCUUUGAUUCCACGGACCACAAUGACGUGCUCGUGUAUAGCGUGAACUCUCUCCUCAUGGAAUGCUAGAAGAUCA